rnacentral:rRNA from 1 species
UCUCGCGGCCUAUCAGCUUGUUGGUGGGGUAAUGGCCUACCAAGGCGACGACGGGUAGCCGACCUGAGAGGGUGACCGGCCACACUGGGACUGAGACACGGCCCAGACUCCUACGGGAGGCAGCAGUGGGGAAUAUUGCACAAUGGGCGAAAGCCUGAUGCAGCGACGCCGCGUGAGGGAUGACGGCCUUCGGGUUGUAAACCUCUUUCAGCAGGGACGAAGCGCAAGUGACGGUACCUGCAGAAGAAGCACCGGCUAACUACGUGCCAGCAGCCGCGGUAAUACGUAGGGUGCAAGCGUUGUCCGGAAUUACUGGGCGUAAAGAGUUCGUAGGCGGUUUGUCGCGUCGUUUGUGAAAACCAGCAGCUCAACUGCUGGCUUGCAGGCGAUACGGGCAGACUUGAGUACUGCAGGGGAGACUGGAAUUCCUGGUGUAGCGGUGAAAUGCGCAGAUAUCAGGAGGAACACCGGUGGCGAAGGCGGGUCUCUGGGCAGUAACUGACGCUGAGGAACGAAAGCGUGGGUAGCGAACAGGAUUAGAUACCCUGGUAGUCCACGCCGUAAACGGUGGGCGCUAGGUGUGGGUUCCUUCCACGGAAUCCGUGCCGUAGCUAACGCAUUAAGCGCCCCGCCUGGGGGAGUACGG